rnacentral:rRNA from 1 species
UGGGAACGUACCCUUUGGUUCGGAACAACCCAGGGAAACUUGGGCUAAAUACCGGAUACGUCCGUAAGGAGAAAGAUUUAUCGCCAAGGGAUCGGCCCGCGUCUGAUUAGCUAGUUGGUGGGGUAAAGGCUUACCAAGGCGGUGAUCGGUAGCUGGUCUGAGAGGACGGCCAGCCACACUGGGACUGAGACACGGCCCAGACUCCUACGGGAGGCAG